CUUCCAUCCCACUCUCUCUAUUCCCAAAAUAUCACAAAGUAUUCUCUCCCUCUCCUUUCUCUUUUUUUUUUUAUUCUUUCGUGGGAACUUGGCUUCUCCCCGCCCUCUGAGAAGAUGAUCAGCCGACUCCCUUCGGUAAGGAAGAAGGGAAUGCCCCCCCCGGUGGGGAAGGAGGAAUGCCCCCCGGUGGGGGAAGAGGGAAUGAAUGCUCCUCUGUUCACGCUUGACCCCUUUUAUAGGCUGCCCACCUCCAUCUCUCCUCCUCCCUAUUUCCCUUCGAGAUAAGGAUAGAUUAAAGUGGGAUAAGGCUGCGAGAUCUCUGCUUAAUCUGCGUUGUAGAUGCCGGCUCUGGUCCCGAUCACUUGAACAACCUGUGAGGAUAAGCUUUGAUUUCGUUUUCUUGUAAC
rnacentral:lncRNA from 1 species